GGAUUCCUGAUAUGCCCUGGCUUUGGAGAGUCCCUAGGGAUGCCCACUCGGGGGUGUAGGGAAGACACUGGCUGUGCGUCCUUCUAGGAAGGGGCUUUCAGGAGAGAGAGUUCUUGUGCUGUCUGAGAAGUGCAGGGGAGACAAAUGAAUGCAGUGUCCAUCCAGCUCUGGGUUUUCUUUAUCCUGCCUCCCGAGACUUCUGACCCCCCUUUCCCAGCUUCAGAUCUUGGGGAGAUCCAUCCAAGGGGUUCAGCCCUCUCCUGCCUCCAUGCCUUGGGUCCCUGAAGAGCUUAGAACCCAAAGCUAGGGCCACCCCUGCACUUAGGCCUUGGCUGAAGAUCUUGAGACUGGUGUUUCCGUGGUCAUUGGUGACAGGAUGUGUGCGCUCGAGUGUGUAAGUGUGGGUGUGUGGGUGUGUGUGUGUGGUCUGCUCAUCUCUUUAGGGAACUUUGAGGUGGGCGGUGGCAUAUGGAGGGGUGUCAGGUUCUAUGUGACCCAGUAAUGAGAAGAGCUUGAAGGUGAGGCCUGAGGGGCCACAGAUGAGUCAUGUUUUAGUGCUGAUGACAGAGGGGCCGGUCGCAUGGGAUGAGGCUCGGUGGGCCUCUUGCUUGUUGUCUCCUGUCUCCUCAAAUGGCUGAAAACUUGGAGGGUCUCGGUUGUUUUCCAUGCCUGGCCCCUCACAGCAGCGAGGCCACUGAAGAGCAACACACCCAGUGUGUGUCAGUGUUCUCAGCCCAGCCCUCCCUGAGAACCCACAUUUGGCUCGUAUGUAUGUGAGCACGUUGGGGUGCGCAUAAGCUAUCACCAUCUUCUUCUCUUCUAUCAUCCAAAUCAAAUGUAAGAAGUCCCUCACAUCCGAUUAGCCCAACUCUGUCUCCCAGGCCCCCUGCUGGGAAACCCAUACCCAGCAUCCCUCCCCUGCCCUGGCCCUCGGCUGUGUAUUUAUAGAUGGAAAUAUACUUUAUAUUUUGUAUCAUUGUGCCUAUAGCCUCUGCCACCUUGUAUAAACCCUGAUGUAUGCUAAGUGUUCUGGAUAUGAAUGUAUGUACACUGAUGCUGCCCCCCUCUGUACAGCGGCUUGGCCUCUCACGAUCCAUUGUAUGGCUUUAUAAAUGAUAAAGU
rnacentral:lncRNA from 1 species